rnacentral:rRNA from 1 species
UACGUAGGGUGCAAGCAUUAAUCGGAUUUAUUGGGCGUAAAGGGCGCGUAGGCGGGGAUGUAAGUCAGAUGUGAAAUCCUGGGGCUCAACCUCAGAACAGCAUUUGAAACUACAUCUCUAGAGGGUAGGCGGAGAAAACGGAAUUCCACAAGUAGCGGUGAAAUGCGUAGAUAUGUGGAAGAACACCAGUGGCGAAGGCGGUUUUCUAGCUUAUACCUGACGCUAAUGCGCGAAAGCAAGGGGAGCAAACAGG